UGGCGAACGGGUGAGUAACACGUGAGCAACCUGCCCUUCACUUCGGGAUAAGCCUUGGAAACGGGGUCUAAUACCGGAUAGGAGCACCUGCUGCAUGGUGGGUGUUGGAAAGUUUUUCGGUGAGGGAUGGGCUCGCGGCCUAUCAGCUUGUUGGUGGGGUAACGGCCUACCAAGGCGUCGACGGGUAGCCGGCCUGAGAGGGCGACCGGCCACACUGGGACUGAGACACGGCCCAGACUCCUACGGGAGGCAGCAGUGGGGAAUAUUGCACAAUGGGCGAAAGCCUGAUGCAGCGACGCCGCGUGAGGGAUGACGGCCUUCGGGUUGUAAACCUCUUUCAGCAGGGAAGAAGCGCAAGUGACGGUACCUGCAGAAGAAGCGCCGGCUAACUACGUGCCAGCAGCCGCGGUAAUACGUAGGGCGCAAGCGUUGUCCGGAAUUAUUGGGCGUAAAGAGCUCGUAGGCGGUCUGUCGCGUCUGGUGUGAAAUCCCAUGGCUCAACUAUGGGCUUGCAUCGGGUACGGGCAGACUAGAGUGCUGUAGGGGAGACUGGAAUUCCUGGUGUAGCGGUGGAAUGCGCAGAUAUCAGGAGGAACACCGAUGGCGAAGGCAGGUCUCUGGGCAGUCACUGACGCUGAGGAGCGAAAGCAUGGGGAGCGAACAGGAUUAGAUACCCUGGUAGUCCAUGCCGUAAACGUUGGGCACUAGGUGUGGGGCCAGUUCCACUGGUUCUGUGCCGUAGCUAACGCAUUAAGUGCCCCGCCUGGGGAGUACGGCCGCAAGGCUAAAACUCAAAGGAAUUGACGGGGGCCCGCACAAGCGGCGGAGCAUGCGGAUUAAUUCGAUGCAACGCGAAGAACCUUACCAAGGCUUGACAUGUACGAGAAAGCCCCAGAGAUGGGGUUCUCUUUGGACACUCGUACACAGGUGGUGCAUGGUUGUCGUCAGCUCGUGUCGUGAGAUGUUGGGUUAAGUCCCGCAACGAGCGCAACCCUUGUCCCAUGUUGCCAGCGGGUUAUGCCGGGGACUCAUGGGAGACUGCCGGGGUCAACUCGGAGGAAGGUGGGGAUGACGUCAAAUCAUCAUGCCCCUUAUGUCUUGGGCUUCACGCAUGCUACAAUGGCCGGUACAGAGGGCUGCGAUACCGUGAGGUGGAGCGAAUCCCAAAAAGCCGGUCUCAGUUCGGAUCGGGGUCUGCAACUCGACCCCGUGAAGUCGGAGUCGCUAGUAAUCGCAGAUCAGCAACGCUGCGGUGAAUACGUUCCCGGGCCUUGUACACACCGCCCGUCAAGUCACGAAAGUUGGUAACACCCGAAGCUC
rnacentral:rRNA from 1 species